rnacentral:misc_RNA from 1 species
CCGAGUUGUCCUCCGUGACACUCCCUUUAUACCCCUUGUGAACAUACCAUCGUUGCCUCGGUGGGCCGCGUCACAGCGCCCGCCGGUGGCCCAUUUCUACCAAAUUCUGUAUAUUUUUACUUGAUUCUGAACCUAUAACAAAUCAUGUUA